rnacentral:ncRNA from 1 species
CAUGGCAGUUCUUAGUUGGUGGAGCGAUUUGUCUGGUUAAUUCCGAUAACGAAUGAGACUCUGGAAUGCUAACUAGUUAUGCGACCCCCGAGCAUGCUCUAAUAAAUUUGUUAGUCUCUAAGGUGCCACAAGUCCUCCUUUUCUUUUUACGGAUACAGACUAACACGACUGCUA